rnacentral:rRNA from 1 species
AUUGAACGCUGGCGGCAGGCCUAACACAUGCCAGUCGAGCGAGCGGCGGACGGGGGAGUAAUGUCUGGGAAACUGCCUGAUGGAGGGGGAUAACUACUGGACAAGGUAGCUAAUACCGCAUCCCAGCCGCUGUGCCCAGACGGGAUUAGCUGGUAGGUGGGGUAACGGCUCACCUAGGCGACGAUCCCUAGAUGGUCUGAGCGGAUGACCAGCCACGAGGGAACUGGGACACGGUCCAGACUCCUACGUGAGGCCGCAGUGGGGUAUAGUGCACAAUGGGCGCAAGCCCUAUGCAGCCAUGCCGCCUGUGUGAAGAAGGCCGUGGGGUUGUAAAGCCCUUUCAGCGGGGAGGCGUUACCCGCCGAAGAAGCACCGGCUAACCCCGUGCCAGCAGCCGCGGUAAUUC